CUAGCCGUAAACGAUGGGUACUAGGUGUAGGGGGUAUCGACCCCCCCUGUGCCGGAGUUAACGCAAUAAGUACCCCGCCUGGGGACUACGGUCGCAAGACUGAAACUCAAAGGAAUUGACGGGGGCCCGCACAAGCGGUGGAGUAUGUGGUUUAAUUCGACGCAACGCGAAGAACCUUACCAAGGCUUGACAUUGAGUGAAAGGCUAAGAGAUUAGCCCCUCUCUUCGGAGACACGAAAACAGGUGG
rnacentral:rRNA from 1 species